rnacentral:rRNA from 1 species
UACGUAGGGUGCAAGCGUUGUCCUGAAUUACUGGGCGUAAAGAGCUCGUAGGCGGUUUGUCGCGUCGUCUGUGAAAACUCGAGGCUCAACCUCGAGCUUGCAGGCGAUACGGGCAGACUUGAGUACUGCAGGGGAGACUGGAAUUCCUGGUGUAGCGGUGAAAUGCGCAGAUAUCAGGAGGAACACCGGUGGCGAAGGCGGGUCUCUGGGCAGUAACUGACGCUGAGGAGCGAAAGCGUGGGUAGCGAACAGG